ensembl:snoRNA SNORD22 Small nucleolar RNA SNORD22
UCCCAAUAAAGAAACUUUUCACAUGUCUUACCUCCUGUCCCAGUAUCAGAGCCUAUAAUGGUGAGCCCACUAGCAUUGGCUGGGGAAAAUUCAGGAG